GGAGGGUGCGAGCGUUAAUCGGAAUAACUGGGCGUAAAGGGCACGCAGGCGGUGACUUAAGUGAGGUGUGAAAGCCCCGGGCUUAACCUGGGAAUUGCAUUUCAUACUGGGUUGCUAGAGUACUUUAGGGAGGGGUAGAAUUCCACGUGUAGCGGUGAAAUGCGUAGAGAUGUGGAGGAAUACCGAAGGCGAAGGCAGCCCCUUGGGAAUGUACUGACGCUCAUGUGCGAAAGCGUGGGGAGCAAACAGGAUUAGAUACCCUGGUAGUCCACGCUGUAAACGAUGUCGAUUUGGGGGUUGAGCUUUGAGCUUGGCGCCCGUAGCUAACGUGAUAAAUCGACCGCCUGGGGAGU
rnacentral:rRNA from 1 species